UACGAAGGGGGCUAGCGUUGUUCGGAAUUACUGGGCGUAAAGCGCGCGCAGGCGGUUUUUCAAGUCAGUGGUGAAAGCCCGGAGCUCAACUCCGGAAAUGCCAUUGAAACUGUGAAACUUGAGGACGAGAGAGGUGAGUGGAAUUCCCAGUGUAGAGGUGAAAUUCGUAGAUAUUGGGAAGAACACCAGUGGCGAAGGCGGCUCACUGGCCCGGUACUGACGCUGAGGUGCGAAAGCGUGGGGAGCAAACAGG
rnacentral:rRNA from 1 species